CUCCCUGACCCUUUAAGGGUCCUGAAGGAACGUUGAAGACGACGACGUUGAUAGGCCGGGUGUGUAAGCGCAGCGAUGCGUUGAGCUAACCGGUACUAAUGAACCGUGAGGCUUAACCUUACAACGCCGAAG
rnacentral:rRNA from 1 species